ensembl:snoRNA
AUCCAAGGUUAUUCCCUCUUCCUACUAAUGCCUCUCUUUAGGAAAGUAGCAACUUGGAAUAAAAUCUGGCAAACCUCGGGUUUCUGAGGGAAAGGGAUGUUUAUUUCCUUUGCUUUCCUUUGUGAACAUGU